GUGCUGGCUUCAGCAGCACAUAUACUAAAAUUAGAAUGAUACAGAGAAGGUUAGCAUGGCCCCUGCACAAGGAUGACAUGCAAAUUCAUGAAGUGUUUCCCAUAUAU